rnacentral:rRNA from 1 species
GAAUACAUCGGAAUCUACUCUGUCGUGGGGGAUAACGUAGGGAAACUUACGCUAAUACCGCAUACGACCUACGGGUGAAAGCAGGGGAUCUUCGGACCUUGCGCGAUUGAAUGAGCCGAUGUCGGAUUAGCUAGUUGGCGGGGUAAAGGCCCACCAAGGCGACGAUCCGUAGCUGGUCUGAGAGGAUGAUCAGCCACACUGGAACUGAGACACGGUCCAGACUCCUACGGGAGGCAGCAGUGGGGAAUAUUGGACAAUGGGCGCAAGCCUGAUCCAGCCAUACCGCGUGGGUGAAGAAGGCCUUCGGGUUGUAAAGCCCUUUUGUUGGGAAAGAAAUCCAGCCGGCUAAUACCUGGUUGGGAUGACGGUACCCAAAGAAUAAGCACCGGCUAACUUCGUGCCAGCAGCCGCGGUAAUACGAAGGGUGCAAGCGUUACUCGGAAUUACUGGGCGUAAAGCGUGCGUAGGUGGUUAUUUAAGUCCGUUGUGAAAGCCCUGGGCUCAACCUGGGAACUGCAGUGGAUACUGGAUGACUAGAAUGUGGUAGAGGGUAGCGGAAUUCCUGGUGUAGCAGUGAAAUGCGUAGAGAUCAGGAGGAACAUCCAUGGCGAAGGCAGCUACCUGGACCAACAUUGACACUGAGGCACGAAAGCGUGGGGAGCAAACAGGAUUAGAUACCCUGNUAGUCCACGCCCUAAACGAUGCGAACUGGAUGUUGGGUGCAAUUUGGCACGCAGUAUCGAA